UGGCGGACGGGUGAGUAAUGUCUGGGAAACUGCCCGAUGGAGGGGGAUAACUACUGGAAACGGUAGCUAAUACCGCAUAAUGUCUGCGGACCAAAGCGGGGGACCUCCGGGCCUCGCGCCAUCAGAUGAACCCAUAUGGGAUUAGCUAGUAGGUAAGGUAACGGCUUACCUAGGCGACGAUCCCUAGCUGGUCUGAGAGGAUGACCAGCCACACUGGAACUGAGACACGGUCCAG
rnacentral:rRNA from 1 species